UACAGAGGUCUCAAGCGUUUGUUCGGAUUCAUUGGGCGUAAAGGGCGCGUAGGCGGCGGGGUAAGUCGGGUGUGAAAUCUCAGGGCUCAACCCUGAAACUGCACUCGAUACUGCUCUGCUUGAGGACUGGAGAGGAGACUGGAAUUCACGGUGUAGCAGUGAAAUGCGUAGAUAUCGUGAGGAAGACCAGUGGCGAAGGCGGGUCUCUGGACAGUUCCUGACGCUGAGGCGCGAAGGCCAGGGGAGCAAAGCGGG
rnacentral:rRNA from 1 species